CUGUUGGGUAGGGGAGCGUUGUGUAAGCGGAAGAAGGUUCAUCGAGAGGUGGGCUGGACGUAUCACAAGUGCGAAUGCUGACAUAAGUAACGAUAAAACGGGUGAAAAACCCGUUCGCCGGAAGACCAAGGGUUCCUGUCCAACGUUAAUCGGGGCAGGGUGAGUCGGCUCCUAAGGCGAGGCUGAAAAGCGUAGUCGAUGGGAAACAGGUUAAUAUUCCUGUACUUGGUAAAGCUGCGAUGUGGGGACGGAGUAGGUUAGGUUAUCGCACUGUUGGAUAUGUGCGUUUAAGUUGGUAGGUGGGAAGUUUAGGCAAAUCCGGACUUCCUUAACACAGAGAGAUGAUGACGAGGCUCUACGGAGCUGAAGUAACUGAUACCACACUUCCAGGAAAAGCCACUAAGCGAAAGGCUUUACUAAACCGUACUGAAAACCGACACAGGUGGUCAGGUAGAGAAUACUCAGGCGCUUGAGAGAACUCGGGUGAAGGAACUAGGCAAAAUAGCACCGUAACUUCGGGAGAAGGUGCGCCGGCGUAGAUUGUAAGGGCUAGCCCCUGAAGGUUGAACCGGUCGAAGAUACCAGCUGGCUGCAACUGUUUAUUAAAAACACAGCACUCUGCAAACACGAAAGUGGACGUAUAGGGUGUGAUGCCUGCCCGGUGCUGGAAGGUUAAUUGAUGGUGUCAUCGAAAGAGAAGCACCUGAUCGAAGCCCCAGUAAACGGCGGCCGUAACUAUAACGGUCCUAAGGUAGCGAAAUUCCUUGUCGGGUAAGUUCCGACCUGCACGAAUGGCAUAAUGAUGGCCAGGCUGUCUCCACCCGAGACUCAGUGAAAUUGAAAUCGCCGUGAAGAUGCGGUGUACCCGCGGCUAGACGGAAAGACCCCGUGAACCUUUACUAUAGCUUGACACUGAACAUUGAAUUUUGAUGUGUAGGAUAGGUGGGAGACUUAGAAGUAGUCACGCCAGUUAUUAUGGAGUCAUCCUUGAAAUACCACCCUUUAACGUUUGAUGUUCUAACGAAGACUACGGAACGUGGUCUCGGACAGUGUCUGGUGGGUAGUUUGACUGGGGCGGUCUCCUCCCAAAGCGUAACGGAGGAGCACGAAGGUUUGCUAAUCACGGUCGGACAUCGUGAGGUUAGUGCAAUGGUAUAAGCAAGCUUAACUGCGAGACAGACAAGUCGAGCAGGUACGAAAGUAGGUCAUAGUGAUCCGGUGGUUCUGAAUGGAAGGGCCAUCGCUCAACGGAUAAAAGGUACUCCGGGGAUAACAGGCUGAUACCGCCCAAGAGUUCAUAUCGACGGCGGUGUUUGGCACCUCGAUGUCGGCUCAUCACAUCCUGGGGCUGAAGUAGGUCCCAAGGGUAUGGCUGUUCGCCAUUUAAAGUGGUACGCGAGCUGGGUUUAGAACGUCGUGAGACAGUUCGGUCCCUAUCUGCCGUGGGCGUAGGA
rnacentral:rRNA from 1 species